CCAUGGAAGCGGCAAUAGACAAAGAACGAAU
rnacentral:sRNA from 1 species